rnacentral:rRNA from 1 species
UGAGUACGAGAUGCUACGGCAUCGAAGCAGUCUAUGUCAUACUUCCAAGAAAAGCUUGCACUGUCAGAAACAGAUAAUGCCUGUACCAUAACCGACACAGGUGGGUAGGUAGAGUAUACUAAGGGGCGCGAGAUAACUCUCUCUAAGGAACUCGGCAAAAUGACUCCGUAACUUCGGGAGAAGGAGUGCCUUAUUUUUAAGGUUGCAAUAACAAGAUCCAAGCAACUGUUUACCAAAAACACAGGUCUCCGCUAAGUCGUAAGACGAUGUAUGGGGGCUGACGCCUGCCCAGUGCCAGAAGGUUAAAGAAGUCGGUUAGCAUUCGCGAAGCUGGUAACUGAAGCCCUGGUGAACGGCGGCCGUAACAAUAACGGUCCUAAGGUAGCGAAAUUCCUUGUCGGGUAAGUUCCGACCCGCACGAAAGGCGUAAUGAUUUGGAUACUGUCUCGGAGAGGGGCUCGGUGAAAUAGACUUGUCUGUGAAGAUGCGGACUACCUGCACCUGGACAGAAAGACCCUAUGAAGCUUUACUGUAACUUGAAAUUGAAAUUGGACUUUAUUUGCGCAGUAUAGGUGGGAGGCGUUGAAAAUAUUCUUGCGGGAAUAUUGGAGCCAUCAGUGAGAUACCACUCUUGUAAUGUUAGAUUUCUAACUUUAUAUCAUUAUCUGGUUAAAGAACAGUUUCAGGCGGGCAGUUUGACUGGGGCGGUCGCCUCCCAAAUGGUAACGGAGGCGCACAAAGGUUUCCUCUGAACGGGUAGAAAUCGUAUCUAGAGUGUAAAGGCAUAAGGAAGCUUGACUGUGAGACCUACAAGUCGAGCAGGGACGAAAGUCGGUCUUAGUGAUCUGACGGUGCUGAGUGGAAAGGCCGUCACUCAACGGAUAAAAGUUACUCUAGGGAUAACGGGCUGAUCUCCCCCAAGAGUUCACAUCGACGGGGAGGUUUGGCACCUCGAUGUCGGCUCAUCGCAUCCUGGGGCGGUAGUACGUCCCAAGGGUUGGGCUGUUCGCCCAUGAAAGCGGUACGCGAGCUGGGUUCAGAACGUCGUGAGACAGUUCGGUCCAUAUCCGGUGUAGGCGUUAGAAUAUUGAGAGGAGCCUUCUUUAGUACGAGAGGACCGAGAAGGACAUACCUCUGGUGUACCAGUUAUCGUGCCAACGGUAAACGCUGGGUAGCUAUGUAUGGAGUGGAUAACCGCUGAAAGCAUCUAAGUGGGAAGCCCACCUCAAGAUAAGUAUUCUC